UACCGGAGCUGUGUGGUGUGUGGACGC
rnacentral:piRNA from 1 species